AGCGAACGCUGGCGGCAGGCCUAACACAUGCAAGUCGAACGAACUCUUCGGAGUUAGUGGCGGACGGGUGAGUAACACGUGGGAACGUGCCUUUUGGUUCGGAAUAACUCAGGGAAACUUGUGCUAAUACCGAAUGUGCCCUUCGGGGGAAAGAUUUAUCGCCAUUAGAGCGGCCCGCGUCUGAUUAGCUAGUUGGUGAGGUAACGGCUCACCAAGGCGACGAUCAGUAGCUGGUCUGAGAGGAUGACCAGCCACACUGGGACUGAGACACGGCCCAGACUCCUACGGGAGGCAGCAGUGGGAAAUCUUACGCAAUGGGCGAAAGCCUGACGCAGCCAUGCCGCGUGAAUGAUGAAGGUCUUAGGAUUGUAAAAUUCUUUCACCGGGGACGAUAAUGACGGUACCCGGAGAAGAAGCCCCGGCUAACUUCGUG
rnacentral:rRNA from 1 species